rnacentral:rRNA from 1 species
GCGAAAACUUUACAAUGCUGGCAACAGCGAUAAGGGAACCUCGAGUGCCAGGUUACAAAUCUGGCUGUCGAGAUGCCUAAAAAGCAUUUCAUAGCAAGGGCCGGGCAAGACCGGUGCCAGCCGCCGCGGUAACACCGGCGGCUUGAGUGGUAACCGUUAUUAUUGGGUCUAAAGGGUCUGUAGCCGGCCGGAUAAGUCUCUUGAGAAAUCUGGCAGCUUAACUGUCAGGCUUUCAGGAGAUACUGUCUGGCUCGAGGCCGGGAGAGGUGAGAGGUACUUCAGGGGUAGGGGUGAAAUCUUGUAAUCCUUGAAGGACCACCAGUGGCGAAGGCGUCUCACCAGAACGGACUUGACGGCAAGGGACGAAAGCUAGGGGCACGAACC